CAGCACCUCAAGUGGUCAGGAUGAUUAUUGGGCCUAAAGCAUCCGUAGCCGGCUCUGUAAGUUUUCGGUUAAAUCUGUACGCUCAACGUACAGGCUGCCGGGAAUACUGCAGAGCUAGGGAGUGGGAGAGGUAGACGGUACUCGGUAGGAAGGGGUAAAAUCCUUUGAUCUAUUGAUGACCACCUGUGGCGAAGGCGGUCUACCAGAACACGUCCGACGGUGAGGGAUGAAAGCUGGGGGAGCAAACCGGAUUAGAGAUCCGUGUAGUCC
rnacentral:rRNA from 1 species